rnacentral:lncRNA from 1 species
GGAUUCCUGUUUUAUCAUGAAUAUUCAUUAGGCAGGGUCGGGGACAGUCUCGAUUCUCUUAAAUAUUCAUAUCGAGGUGGGAAUGCACGACGCGCGCUAUACUCGCACAAUGUGAGAAGAUUUAGUUCACGGAGAAUGCAUAUGGAUUGAAACUGAAGAGCUGGAAGGAGGACAUUACAACAUCUCUUAUAUUUGCAAGAUGAAGCAGAAAGUCCCAUGCAGGAUGAUGCCUCUCUACAGUGGAUGAUGAAGGCAUUCUGGUUUGCAAACUCAGAAGAGGAACAAAGAACAGAUGUUGACGGGAUCAUAUCUAGAGAUGCGGGCCUACUACACUUCAUACGAGCAAGUGUGCUAAUAUACAUGAAGGUACCCCCAAUAAAUUUUUGUGGAACAAAUGUCAUGGAGAAAAUUAUAGAUCUGAAACAGAUAUUUUUCAUUGUCAGUUGACUUGUAAAAGAAUAAUUGACUUAAUAUCACAAUUGUAAUUUAGAUUAAAAAUUAAAUGUCAAUAUAGAUGAAA